rnacentral:rRNA from 1 species
GACGAACGCUGGCGGCGUGCCUAAUACAUGCAAGUCGAACGAGAGCGACCGGUGCUUGCACUGGUCAAUCUAGUGGCGAGCGGGUGAGUAACACGUGGGUAACCUGCCCAUCAGAGGGGGAUAACAUUCGGAAACGGAUGCUAAAACCGCAUAGGUCCUUUAACCGCAUGGUUGAAGGAGGAAAAGAGGCGCAAGCUUCUGCUGAUGGAUGGACCCGCGGUGCAUUAGCUAGUUGGUGAGGUAACGGCUCACCAAGGCCGUGAUGCAUAGCCGACCUGAGAGGGUGAUCGGCCACAUUGGGACUGAGACACGGCCCAAACUCCUACGGGAGGCAGCAGUAGGGAAUCUUCCGCAAUGGACGCAAGUCUGACGGAGCAACGCCGCGUGAGUGAAGAAGGUUUUCGGAUCGUAAAACUCUGUUGUUAGAGAAGAACAAGUGCUAGAGUAACUGUUAGCGCCUUGACGGUAUCUAACCAGAAAGCCACGGCUAACUACGUGCCAGCAGCCGCGGUAAUACGUAGGUGGCAAGCGUUGUCCGGAUUUAUUGGGCGUAAAGCGAGCGCAGGCGGUUCCUUAAGUCUGAUGUGAAAGCCCCCGGCUCAACCGGGGAGGGUCAUUGGAAACUGGGGAACUUGAGUGCAGAAGAGGAGAGUGGAAUUCCAUGUGUAGCGGUGAAAUGCGUAGAUAUAUGGAGGAACACCAGUGGCGAAGGCGACUCUCUGGUCUGUAACUGACGCUGAGGCUCGAAAGCGUGGGUAGCAAACAGG